rnacentral:rRNA from 1 species
ACGAACGCUGGCGGCGUGCCUAAUACAUGCAAGUCGAACGAGAGCGACCGGUGCUUGCACUGGUCAAUCUAGUGGCGAACGGGUGAGUAACACGUGGGUAACCUGCCCAUCAGAGGGGGAUAACAUUCGGAAACGGAUGCUAAAACCGCAUAGGUCCUUUAACCGCAUGGUUGAAGGAGGAAAAGAGGCGCAAGCUUCUGCUGAUGGAUGGACCCGCGGUGCAUUAGCUAGUUGGUGAGGUAACGGCUCACCAAGGCCGUGAUGCAUAGCCGACCUGAGAGGGUGAUCGGCCACAUUGGGACUGAGACACGGCCCAAACUCCUACGGGAGGCAGCAGUAGGGAAUCUUCCGCAAUGGACGCAAGUCUGACGGAGCAACGCCGCGUGAGUGAAGAAGGUUUUCGGAUCGUAAAACUCUGUUGUUAGAGAAGAACAAGUGCUAGAGUAACUGUUAGCGCCUUGACGGUAUCUAACCAGAAAGCCACGGCUAACUACGUG